AUGCUUUGCUGUUAUGUUUGGUAUUAUCUUUCCAUCUUAUAACCUAGGGGGAUGAUCAUAUAAGUAAAUAAAUGUUUGUAAAUAGAACUCCACAUUCUUAUUUUGUUGGCUUGUAGGUUAUGUGUGACUGUUACACCCCAGCGGGAGAGCCAAUCCCCACUAACAAGAGGCACAAUGCUGCUAAGAUUUUUAGCCAUCCUGAUGUUGUUGCUGAAGUGCCAUGGUGUGUUCCUAAAUUUCAUUAUUUGUCUAUCUCAAACUUGUCUUCCUCUGAUGUAAUGGAUCUUUAUUAUUGGUUCAUCGCUUUUUAUUUUUCUAUUCAGGUAUGGAAUUGAGCAGGAGUACACCCUCUUGCAAAAGGAUGUCAAAUGGCCUCUUGGGUGGCCUGUUGGUGGUUUUCCUGGUCCUCAGGUAAUAUCUUUAAUUAGACUCAUUGGUGUUGGCAUGAUGGACCUUUUUCUUAUUUGCUUUCAUCUUUUAAUAAUGCAAUUAUUGUUGCCCAAAGAUAGAUAUAUUGUGACCUUCUUGUACAUUUUGAUUCUUUUUUUGGUAUCUAACAACCUAUUUCUGUUAGGUUGUUAAACAUCAGGAUGUUAAACAACUCCCGUUAUCUUUUUUUAUCUAACCUUUUUCUUAAAGUUUGAUGUCUAUUCUAUGAAAUUGAAGACUGCAAAAGAAAAUAAUAAUCAAAACAUUUGGGACGAAUGCUACUCAUUCUAUUCGAACAAAUUGAGUCAUCAUAUACUCCUUCUCAUCUAGAAAAUUCUAGAAAAGUAUGCAAAGGAUCUCAAUUGAGAUCAUGAAAUGGAAAAAUGAUGCAUGCCUAUUUGUUUUGUUCAUUAGUAGCAUUACUUUGGUGAUCUAUUAGGGCUGAUAGCAUAAUGAUUUCUAUUCUGCUUGACUUUGUCAAGUUGCUUUUACCAAAUCAAUUUUUCUUGAGAAUUGAAUCAUGAACUUAGACUACAACAUUUUCAGUUAGAUCUAAUCCAUUUAAGUUUCAUUUCAGGGCCCAUAUUACUGUUCUGCUGGUGCAGAUAAAGCCUUUGGCCGUGACAUAGUUGAUGCUCACUACAAAGCCUGUCUUUAUGCUGGCAUCAAUAUCAGUGGUAUCAAUGGGGAAGUCAUGCCAGGACAGGUAACAGCUUUUGUUUAUUUCAAUAACUGGGAGUUUUGCUCUUUGUCCUACUUGAAAUGAACAACUGCUUUCUGUGAUUUCUAGUGGGAGUUUCAAGUUGGACCUGCUGUUGGUAUUUCAGCUGGUGAUGAACUAUGGGUUGCA
rnacentral:lncRNA from 1 species